rnacentral:rRNA from 1 species
CGGCACCUUCGGGUGUAGUGGCGGACGGGUUAGUAACGCGUGGGAACGUGCCCUUCUCUACGGAAUAGCCUCGGGAAACUGAGCGUAAUACCGUAUACGCCCUUUGGGGGAAAGAUUUAUCGGAGAAGGAUCGGCCCGCGUUGGAUUAGGUAGUUGGUGGGGUAAUGGCCUACCAAGCCUACGAUCCAUAGCUGGUUUGAGAGGAUGAUCAGCAACACUGGGACUGAGACACGGCCCAGACUCCUACGGGAGGCAGCAGUGGGGAAUCUUAGACAAUGGGGGCAACCCUGAUCUAGCCAUGCCGCGUGAGUGACGAAGGCCUUAGGGUCGUAAAGCUCUUUCGCUGGAGAAGAUAAUGACGGUAUCCAGUAAAGAAACCCCGGCUAACUCCGUGCCAGCAGCCGCGGUAAUACGGAGGGGGUUAGCGUUGUUCGGAAUUACUGGGCGUAAAGCGCGCGUAGGCGGAUUGGAAAGUUGGGGGUGAAAUCCCGGGGCUCAACCCCGGAACGGCCUCCAAAACUCCCAGUCUUGAGUUCGAGAGAGGUGAGUGGAAUUCCGAGUGUAGAGGUGAAAUUCGUAGAUAUUCGGAGGAACACCAGUGGCGAAGGCG